CCCUUUACUCGGGGAUAGCCUUUCGAAAGAAAGAUUAAUACCCGAUGGGAUAAUCAUUCCGCAUGGUUUGAUUAUUAAAGGAUUCCGGUAAAGGAUGGGGAUGCGUUCCAUUAGGUUGUUGGUGAGGUAACGGCCCACCAAGCCUUCGAUGGAUAGGGGUUCUGAGAGGAAGGUCCCCCACAUUGGAACUGAGACACGGUCCAAACUCCUACGGGAGGCAGCAGUGAGGAAUAUUGGUCAAUGGGCGCGAGCCUGAACCAGCCAAGUAGCGUGAAGGAUGACUGCCCUAUGGGUUGUAAACUUCUUUUAUAUUAGAAUAAAGUGCAGUAUGUAUACUGUUUUGUAUGUAUAAUAUGAAUAAGGAUCGGCUAACUCCGUGCCAGCAGCCGCGGUAAUACGGAGGAUCCGAGCGUUAUCCGGAUUUAUUGGGUUUAAAGGGAGCGUAGGUGGACUGGUAAGUCAGUUGUGAAAGUUUGCGGCUCAACCGUAAAAUUGCAGUUGAUACUGUCAGUCUUGAGUACAGUAGAGGUGGGCGGAAUUCGUGGUGUAGCGGUGAAAUGCUUAGAUAUCACGAAGAACUCCGAUUGCGAAGGCAGCUCACUGGACUGCAACUGACACUGAUGCUCGAAAGUGUGGGUAUCAAACAGGAUUAGAUACCCUGGUAGUCCACACAGUAAACGAUGAAUACUCGCUGUUUGCGAUAUACAGUAAGCGGGCCAAGCGAAAGCAUUAAGUAUUCCACCUGGGGAGUACGCCGGCAACGGUGAAACUCAAAGGAAUUGACGGGGGGCCUCGCACAAGCGGAGGAACAUGUGGUUUAAUUCGAUGAUACGCGAGGAACCUUACCCGGGCUUAAAUUUGCAGUGGAAAUGAUGUGGAAAACAUGUCAGUGAGCAAUCACUCACUGUGAAGGUGCUG
rnacentral:rRNA from 1 species